GACGAACGCUGGCGGCGUGCUUAACGCAUGCAAGUCGAACGGAAAGGCCCUGCUUUUGUGGGGUGCUCGAGUGGCGAACGGGUGAGUAACACGUGAGUAACCUGCCCUUGACUUUGGGAUAACUUCAGGAAACUGGGGCUAAUACCGGAUAGGAGCUCCUGCUGCAUGGUGGGGGUUGGAAAGUUUCGGCGGCUGGGGAUGGACUCGCGGCUUAUCAGCUUGUUGGUGGGGUAGUGGCUUACCAAGGCUUUGACGGGUAGCCGGCCUGAGAGGGUGACCGGCCACAUUGGGACUGAGAUACGGCCCAGACUCCUACGGGAGGCAGCAGUGGGGAAUAUUGCACAAUGGGCGGAAGCCUGAUGCAGCAACGCCGCGUGCGGGAUGACGGCCUUCGGGUUGUAAACCGCUUUCGCCUGUGACGAAGCGUGAGUGACGGUAAUGGGUAAAGAAGCACCGGCUAACUACGUG
rnacentral:rRNA from 1 species